GAUGAACGCUAGCGGCAGGCUUAACACAGUGCAAGUCGAGGGGCAGCAGGUCUUCGGAUGCUGGCGACCGGCGCACGGGUGCGUAACGCGUAUGCAACUUACCCUUUACUGGGGGAUAGCCCGAGGAAACUCGGAUUAAUACCCCAUAGUUUUGAGAUACUGCAUGGUAUUUCAAAUAAAGAUUCGUUGGUAAAGGAUAGGCAUGCGUGACAUUAGGUAGUUGGAGAGGUAACGGCUCACCAAGCCGACGAUGUCUAGGGGUCCUGAGAGGGUUACCCCCCCACACUGGUACUGAGACACGGACCAGACUCCUACGGGAGGCAGCAGUGAGGAAUAUUGGUCAAUGGAGGCAACUCUGAACCAGCCAUGCCGCGUGCAGGAAGACGGCCCUAUGGGUUGUAAACUGCUUUUAUACAGGGCGAAUUCUGUUACGAGUAACAGGUUGACGGUACUGUAUGAAUAAGCACCGGCUAACUCCGUGCCAGCAGCCGCGGUAAACUCGUUCUA
rnacentral:rRNA from 1 species